rnacentral:tRNA from 1 species
GGUAAAAAAGCGUUUAAGCAGAUAUAAAGCGUUUAAGAAACAUAUAAAGAAGGUGUUUAAGAAACAGGUAAAAGGUGUUUAAGAAACAUAUCUGUUUCUUAAACAUAUCUUUUUGUUUUCUUUUGUUUUCUUUUAUCUGUCCCGAGGAAGGUUUUUACCGAUUUACUCCUGAGGGCUUGUAGCUCAGUUGGUUAGAGCGCGCGCUUGAUAAGCGUGAGGUCGGAGGUUCAAGUCCUCCCAGGCCCACCAAUUUAUGAUUGCUGAUAAAUUUGCUGAUAAGUUUUUUGUGAAUGUUUUGAUGGUCUUUUAUCUUACGAUCUUUCACUUUUAUGUUGCAAUCUUUCAAAAGUAUUUGAACUGUUUUAGGGGCCGUAGCUCAGCUGGGAGAGCACCUGCUUUGCAAGCAGGGGGUCGUCGGUUCGAUCCCGUCCGGCUCCACCAUCUUUGGUUAUCAUCAUCGUUAAAGAACAAUGUUUUGCAAUAGAUCUGUAGAUCUUAAGUCUAUCAUCUAUUGCCUGUUCUAUUGAAAUUGUGAAGAGAAGAUAUAUUCAGACAUUACUGUUUUAUUCAGCUAUUG